rnacentral:rRNA from 1 species
AGUCGAGCGGGCCUUUCGGGGUCAGCGGCGGACGGGUGAGUAACGCGUGGGAACGUGCCCUCUGGUUCGGAAUAACUCAGGGAAACUUGAGCUAAUACCGGAUACGCCCUUUUGGGGAAAGGCUUGCUGCCGGAGGAUCGGCCUGCGUCUGAUUAGCUAGUUGGUGAGGUAACGGCUCACCAAGGCGACGAUCAGUAGCUGGUCUGAGAGGAUGAUCAGCCACACUGGGACUGAGACACGGCCCAGACUCCUACGGGAGGCAGCAGUGGGGAAUAUUGGACAAUGGGCGCAAGCCUGAUCCAGCCAUGCCGCGUGAGUGAUGAAGGCCUUAGGGUUGUAAAGCUCUUUUAUCCGGGACGAUAAUGACGGUACCGGAGGAAUAAGCCCCGGCUAACUUCGUGCCAGCAGCCGCGGUAAUACGAAGGGGGCUAGCGUUGCUCGGAAUCACUGGGCGUAAAGGGCGCGUAGGCGGCGUUUUAAGUCGGGGGUGAAAGCCUGUGGCUCAACCACAGAAUGGCCUUCGAUACUGGGACGCUUGAGUAUGGUAGAGGUUGGUGGAACUGCGAGUGUAGAGGUGAAAUUCGUAGAUAUUCGCAAGAACACCGGUGGCGAAGGCGGCCAACUGG